UUUCCGUAGGUGAACCUGCGGAAGGAUCAUUACAGAGUUCAUGCCCGAAAGGGUAGACCUCCCACCCUUGUGUAUUAUUACUCUGUUGCUUUGGCGAGCGCAAGCUCGCCAAAGAAUACCAAAACUCUUUUUAUUAAUGUCGUCUGAGUACUAUAUAAUAGUUAAAACUUUCAACAACGGAUCUCUUGGUUCUG
rnacentral:misc_RNA from 1 species